ensembl:lncRNA
GUGCGCACUUUGAGUCCCCUCCUAGUCCAAGAGGGAGAUCAACACACUGGAGGAAGACUGAUGAAGGGCCACAAAAAUGUCAAGGGGAUUGGAGCUCCUGAUGAACAUGGAGUCUGAAUGAAGAGUGUUUGCAUAGCAUGGAUAAGAGAAGGCUUGAAGGGGAUGAGGAGAGGAAUUAAAUGCUGUCUUCCAGAAUCCAAACAGAGUUAGAGACAGGACAGAGCCAGAGAUUCCCCGUGUAAUACAAGUAGUAAAAAUCACAAGUUUAAACACUGGAAAUUCUGCUUGUGUAGAAAAAGUUGUCACAAAAGUAGCUAAGCACCAAAAUAGGUCACCUCAGUCCUGAACAAACCUGAGCAAUCUGGGCUAGCCUUGAAGCUGGCCUUCCUUUGAGCAGGAAGUUAGGUUAGGUACCUCUCAGAGCCUUUCCAUACAAUCGCAUUCUAUAGUUUUGUCUUCUACAGUGAAACAUCAGCUUGCUACAGUCUAUCCAGCUUGCUGAUAUUAUGGGGGCAUGGGAUACUUACAAAGAUGCUUUGCAUACUAGCACUGACAUGCAAAUAUGAAGAAGUAUGAAUUGUACAGAACUCACUUGGGUGGUAAUGUCUUGGCCUUGACUGGAAAGAUAAAGUUAAGUAAAAAAUAAGUAAAAGAAACUAAGAUAGAAAAAUAUAUGUUGUUUGCAAACCCAAUUUUGAAUUUUAAAACACUGCAACUGUAGAUUCAGAGUUUUAUAACUUGGACCGUUUUCUCAGUCAAGAACUAUUUCUGAGCAAGACCCUUGGAUUUCAAAUCACUCCAGCCAGUGUAUUUUCAGGAAGUCUGAUACAGAGCCUCAGGAACUACUUAAGCCAUUGCACAGUCUGCUCAAGGUUGCAUCAAUCUCUAAAUGUGGAUGAGGUAGAGCCAUAAAAAGGUCAUCUAUUACCUGGCAGUUCCUGCAGUGCCAGCAGCUUGUUUACCUGGGGAGCCAAGGCACUGAUUAGCUCACUGAUCAUGUGAAAAAGACGGACAUAUGAGAUUCCACUCUCAGCCACCUGAACAUUCUCUCUGCUCAUGGAUUUCCUGGUUUCUCCAGAGAAGCCUAAAACCAGGAUAUUGUUCACCUUGCCAUAUAUCUUGGUAACUUCCUAACGAAUAUCUUGAUGUUAAAGCCCUACAUAACCUUACAUUGCCUAAAUCUCCCUUUUAAUUAAUUUUAAUGAGAGUCCCACAGACUCUCAGGCCUGCACUCUGCUUAUGGCACCUCCCACAGUCCUCUGCCCAUUCAUGACUCACUGACAACAUUCCAUCUCCUUUUUCAACAAUUCUUCACAUCCAUUUUUGUGUUUUGUCCAUACUUUG